AGGAAGGCGGAGUGGCGGCGGCGUUCGCUUUCUUCCCGGACUGUCUUCGGCACCUGCCCCGGGCCUUCCGCCGCCGACCGCGCUGCUCUGCUGCUUCUUGCCCUGCUCCGGCUGCCGACCCGGCGCCGCUCUGCCGGGAAAGUGCGGGCCUCCCCGCCGCGGCCCGAAGCCAGGCUCCUCCUGCGGGGUCCCACCUGCGCUAGGGACCCGAAAGCGCGCGCCGCCCUUCUCGCAGCUUUGCUCUCCGCAGGCUCUUUGGCAGCUCUUAAUUCCACACAGUUGAUUGAGCACCUUAUAAUUUGUCAAGUCACCUGCCAGGCAUUACCAUUCAUGACCUGAGAGUCUGUGUCUCCCCACACAGUUUGCCUGGUACCUUGCCUUUGACGGCCCCCCAUGUGGAGAAAGCUCUUCCUUCACCUCUCAGCUCUGGGACUCAGCAAACUCGAGUCCUGAAGGUGCAGCGUAAAUAAUUCACUGGAGUUACAAUACAAAUCAGUGAGUGAACAAAGAUUAAACAGUAAAGUACUGUGUAACUGACUUCAAACCAUGGCUUAAAAGAAGGAAAGGGAUUGCAAAAGAUAUUACAUGGUUUAUAUGUAUGACUAUUACACUGCAUGAAAAAUUUCAUUAAGAAUGCAAAAAGUCUAUGGAAAUAUUGGAAAUAUGUGAGGCAAUAUGACCAAACAAUAAUAAAAAGAUACACAAUACAGAAUUACAAAAUGACGAGGAAAAGAUAAAAAAAAAUGAACACCCAAACCAGCCCUUGGAAAAGCAGCAUUCGAGAUUAAAUAUGGGCAUGCCCGUACAGAAGAACAGGAGAUUUCCCACUGGGAAGAAUGAAAAACGGGAAGGGGAGAGUUCUUACACCUCAGAGCUCAGAGCCUCUGAUCCUCCAAACCCAGCUUGACCACUAGAGCUUUAAGUACAUGUGUAAGAGUAAAUACGUGUGUUUCCAUUCAUACACAGACCCCCCAGACUGGCACAUUCUUAUUAUUAUCUGUUUUGAAAACUAGAGAGAAGGGACCUGACCCCAAAGAUGCUAAAUUGGUGAAUAUGUCAGGAUGAAGAGGAGAAAGGCUAGCAUACUGAGAACGAAGAUAGGUACAAUGCCUAGGAUGAAAUGCCGUCCAUAAUUGCCCCAAAUUUCUAGCACCAAUGAUUACAUUUAUGCCCUACAGACUUCAAUUUUUAGUAAAGAUAUGUCUCUCUUACUAUGAAUGUUAACUAUGUACACAUUUAUCUUGCAGUCUGUUUCUGUUUUUCUCUGUCUGUAUGUGUCCAGCUACGCAUUCAUCUAUAUGCCUACUGCUACCUAUACAUUUAUCUAUUUAUCUACCAUAGUUGUGGAAAUCUGUUUCACAGCCUAAUUGCAAAAAUAAACUCACCAUAUUUUUCCUCCUUCAUAACAGGUGGAGGGAGUCAGGAAAGAACAGGCAAUAUUAUAUUUUCUAAUUAGAAAAAUUUAAAGUAACUCUCUUGGUAAAAGAAAAAAUGUACACGUAUAUAUACAUACAUAUGAAUAGAAACAAUGGAAAAAUGUGCACAUGUUGAUGACUUACAUAUUGAGGAAGAGAAAGACAAAGGAUGAGGAAAUAUUUUAAGAAAGAGUUAAGCUGUUAGAGGAACAGCCAUAGGAAGUGUAUAUGGACAGUCUUGAGGCAGGUUAUGCAUUUACUGUCUCAGCUCCAGUUCAUCUUUUUCACCUAGCCCAAUGGUUUAAAUAUGCUUCCUUUGCCAACUGGCGCCAUGUUAUGCUUUGUCAGUAGGCGGCGCAAGAGAGACAUCUCAGGCAGGAAGGUUUUGUCUCCAGCUCUCCUGUGCUCACUGCAGGGCUUCUGAUGUGUGCAAAGCCUUUCCAGCUCCCAGUUCCUGCAGCACAGGUGGAUUUUAUUUUCAAGGAAAAAUAUUAAGAAACCUGUAGCUUAAUAGAAGAAAGAAAUACAGUACUACUAUAAAAAUUGUACUAUAACAAAACUUCAGCAAAGGUACCUCUGAAAUUCAAAGUGAAAAGAAGAAAAAGAAUGAGAAAAAAAUAAAUUAGAUUAAAUUAAAUUGAAUUAAAUUUAAAUGGCCAUCCUUUUGGAAGAACAAGAAUAGAAAGGGAAAUAUGGGCAUACCUUUACAGAAGCAGGGCAGAUUUUACAAUUUGGGAAGAAGUAAUGUCUUCCCUACUCUAAGUUUGAAAUUUAAAUCAACACACACCCAUAUCAAACAGAUCAGUGUAAAAUCUUGGAGUAAACAAACUUACUAGACUCUGGUCCACCUGCUGCUAUCUGUUCAAGCGUAAUUUGUCUGUAAACACUAGAAGUGGCAGAGUCAAUGUGUGAUUCAGUUCACACAUCUAAACCCAGACACAUACUUGUAUUAUCUGCUUCAGAUAUCUGUCUGUCUCUCUAGAGGAAUGACUGCCCCAAAUAGAUUGUCUUAGUUUGUCAGGAGGGCUGACCCACAGAGGACAAAGACAGGUAUCACACCUGGCUUGAAAUGCCUUCCUCAUCUAUCUCUACUAUUCCUGAUUCACCACGAAUUUCUAGUAUGAAAAGUUUAAAUGAUCUCCUGGAUUAGGCCAAAAAAACAGCAUUGAUACGUUUUGGUUUCCCUCUCUUUUCUUUUCUUCUUCAAGUGGAGGUACUGGGAAUCAAACCAAGUACCUCGCGCGUGCUCAGCGUGUACUCCACCAACUGAGCUAUACCCCGACCCCCACAGCAUUGAUACAGAUGUCAAUCAUUAGAAAUAGUUUCUCUCUGCCUAAUGAUCUAUCCUGAAAAGUGCUGCGUAUCAGUUCAUAUAGAUCUUACUCUUUCUUUUCUUAUCCCUGCAUAGUACUGUAUUGUAUGUGUGUACCACAGUUUUUUCAACCACUUUCCUAUAUUGGGGCAUUUGUUCAGUUUUCAAUACUUUGUAAUUAUAAAUCAUAUUAUAAUAAAUAACC